UACAGAGGGUGCGAGCGUUGUCCGGAUUUACUGGGCGUAAAGAGCGCGCAGGCGGUCGAUCAAGUCGAGUGUGAAAGCCCCCGGCUCAACUGGGGAGGGUCAUUCGAUACUGAUCGACUCGAAGGCAGGAGAGGGUAGUGGAAUUCCCAGUGUAGUGGUGAAAUGCGUAGAUAUCGGGAGGAACACCAGUGGCGAAGGCGACUACCUGGCCUGUUCUUGACGCUGAGGCGCGAAAGCUAGGGGAGCAAACGGG
rnacentral:rRNA from 1 species